ACUGGGGCACUGGAAGGUCCCUAGGUUGAAACGGGUGAGCUGGCAUGCCGGUUCACCUGCCUUAGGAUGGGGCUGCGUCCGAUCAGGUAGUUGGUGGGGUAAUGGCCCACCAAGCCUAUGACCGGUGCGGGCUCUGAGAGGAGGAGCCCGGAGAUGGACCCUGAGACAAGGGUCCAGGCCCUACGGGGCGCAGCAGGCGCGAAACCUUCGCAAUGCCCGAAAGGGUGACGAGGCUACCCCGAGUGUCGUCCGCUAAGGACGGCUUUUGUCGGGUCUAAAAAGCCCGACGAAUAAGGGGAGGGCAAGUCUGGUGUCAGCCGCCGCGGUAAUACCAGCUCCCCGACUGGUCGGGACGAUUAUUGGGUCUAAAGCGUCCGUAGCCGGCCCUGUAUGUGAUCCGUUAAAUCUAGCGGCUCAACCGCUGGGCUGCGGAUCAUACUAUGGGGCUAGGGGACGGGAGAGGCCGGAGGUACUCCGCGGGUAGGGGUAAAAUCCGCUGAUCCGCGGAAGACCAACAGUGGCGAAGGCGUCCGGCCAGAACGCGCCCGACGGUGAGGGACGAAAGCCAGGGGAGCGAACCGGAUUAGAUACCCGGGUAGUCCUGGCCGUAAACGAUGCCCGCUAGGUCUUGGUGAAGCUUAGGGUUUCAUCAGGGCCGCAGGGAAGCCGUUAAGCGGGCCACCUGGGGAGUACGGCCGCAAGGCUGAAACUUAAAGGAAUUGGCGGGGGAGCACCACAAGGGGUGAAGCCUGCGGUUUAAUUGGAGUCAACGCCGGGAACCUUACCAGGGGUGACGGCAGAGUGAAGGUCAGGCUAAAGACCUUACCUGACAAGCCGAGAGGAGGUGCAUGGCCGUCGCCAGCUCGUGCUGUGAAGUGUCCUGUUAAGUCAGGCAACGAGCGAGACCCUCGCUGCCAGUUGCUUCUAUGUUCCGAAAGGUACAUAGAGGAAACUGGUGGGACCGCCGCCGAUAAGGCGGAGGAAGGAGGGGGCUACGGCAGGUCAGUAUGCCCCGAAACCCCUGGGCCACACGCGGGCUGCAAUGGUGGGGACAAUGGGAUCCG
rnacentral:rRNA from 1 species